rnacentral:rRNA from 1 species
CCUACGGGUGGCAGCAGUCGAGAAUCAUUCACAAUGGGGGAAACCCUGAUGGUGCGACGCCGCGCGGGGGAAUGAAGGUCUUCGGAUUGUAAACCCCUGUCAUGUGGGAGCAAAUUAAAAAGAUAGUACCACACGAGGAAGAGACGGCUAACUCUGUGCCAGCAGCCGCGGUAAUACAGAGGUCUCAAGCGUUGUUCGGAAUCACUGGGCGUAAAGCGUGCGUAGGCUGUUUCGUAAGUCGUGUGUGAAAGGCGCGGGCUCAACCCGCGGACGGCACAUGAUACUGCGAGACUAGAGUAAUGGAGGGGGAACCGGAAUUCUCGGUGUAGCAGUGAAAUGCGUAGAUAUCGAGAGGAACACUCGUGGCGAAGGCGGGUUCCUGGACAUUAACUGACGCUGAGGCACGAAGGCCAGGGGAGCGAAAGGGAUUAGAUACCCCGGUAGUC